UAAAGAGCCCCGUUCUACUUCCAUGUCGGGAUAGAGGAUCGGUCCCUAUGUGUUUCCCUAUGAUGGGGCGCACCGUGCACCCCAGUGAUAACACAGAGGGGCUACCUAGAGGACAUAACUUCAAAACCUAAAUCCCAAAAAUCUGACAGAAUGGUUUAAAUACAUGUGUGGAUGAUGUAAUGAUCUGUGUGUAAAAUAUUAUUUAUCUCAC